GGACAAAUUCAAAGAUUUUACACAAGGUAAAUCAAGAGAAUAACAAAUCACGCUUCUUUUCGUAAUGACUUUAUCAACCACAAUCGAAGAGUAACAAUUAAUCGGAUCAAAAUGAGGGGAUCUUUUAAGAACUAAGUCACCAAAAGUUUUAUCAAUAAUUUUCAAAUCUGCACUGGACUCGGUUUCUAAAAUUUCCUUACCUCGCUUACCUUCGGGAUCAUGUAGUGUGAUUUCAUCUUUGCUUAAGUUGAUCGUAUGAAAGCAUCUUUCAUUUGAGAGGUAUUGAAGUUGAAAGUUAUCUUUCGAUCUUUCAGGAACCUGAAAAGUAGCAACACAAGAAAAAUUCAUAACUUGGUUAGUGGAAACAUUCCUCACUAGCCUUUCCUCGUCUUUUUCUUUUGUUUCUUUUUCUAACUCAUUUUCUCUUCUUUCUUCAACUUCUUUUUCAAUUUUCUUUUUUGUUUCACAUUCCUUUUCACUCUCAAUCUCUUUUUGCUCUUUU
rnacentral:lncRNA from 1 species